AUACGGAGGGUGCAAACGUUAAUCGGAAUUACUGGGCGUAAAGCGCGCGUAGGUGGUUUAGUAAGUCGGAUGUGAAAGCCCUGGGCUCAACCUGGGAAUUGCAUUCGAUACUGCUUGACUAGAGUAUGGUAGAGGGAAGUGGAAUUUCCGGUGUAGCGGUGAAAUGCGUAGCUAUCGGAAGGAAAACCAGUGGCGAAGGCGACUUUCUGGGCCAAUACUGACGCUGAGGUGCGAAAGCGUGGGGAGCAAACAGGAUUAGAUACCCCGGUAGUCC
rnacentral:rRNA from 1 species